rnacentral:rRNA from 1 species
CGUGUAGGCGGCCUGUUAAGUCCGAUGUGAAAGCCCGGGGCUCACCCCCGGAAGUGCAUUGGAAACUGUCAGGCUCGAGUCCCGGAGAGGAGGGUGGAAUUCCUGGUGUAGCGGUGAAAUGCGUAGAUAUCAGGAGGAACACCGGUGGCGAAGGCGGCCCUCUGGACGGUGACUGACGCUGAGACGCGAAAGCGUGGAGAGCAAACA